AUCCGACCUCAAAUCAGGCGGAUUACCCGCUGAACUUAA
rnacentral:rRNA from 1 species